UUUUUUUUUUUUUUUUUGGCUGCCCCGCAGCAUAUGGCGCCUNUCCAGGGAUUAAAUCUGAGCCGCAGCCAUGAACUAAGCUGAAGUUUCUACAUACCAGGAUUAUAUUAAACUCUUUACACACAUUUUUCAUAUGGAUAUUCACAACAGUCCUAUAGAUUAGGUACUGCCCCUAUUACCUAUUACCUAGACAGGUUUGCCCCAUACCUAUACUUUGUUACGAGAGAAUAAAACACCACAGCAUAGAAGCCAUGAUUGUAAGAUCUCCAUAAGAUUCUGUAUUCUUUGUUUAGUCUCCCAUAUAUUCUUGUAGAGAUUGGGAAUAAACUCAUAGGAAUAAAAAAAUAGAGAGCUCACUGCUCUUGUCUUUGGGAGUAAAAAGAAAAGGAGUAAUUGUAUUAAUCUCAUCCAUUUGGGUAGCCAGUCUUCCUGGGGGCCUGGCUUCCAGGGAUAUAGCAAUCAAAGACAAUUCCUAAGCACAAGAAAAGUAGGCUAGGGCGCAUCAGCCUGUGUCAUGAUUUCCCCAGCACAUUUUGCUACCUCUCUUAGAGAAGGAGGAUGGUCAUUGUCUGAAAAUCUUGUGUUCUUCUGACCACUAGGAGAAACCAAAAUCUACUCUUCUCCAUUCAAAGAAAGUGUUCAUUGGAGUUCCUGUCGUGGUGCAGCAGAAACAAAUCCGACUAGGAAUAAUGAGGUUGCAGGUUCGAUCCCUGGCCUCGCUCAGUGGGUUAAGGAUCCAGUGUUGCCGUGAGCUGUGGGGUAGGUCGCAGAUACGGCUUGGAUCCUGCCUCACUGUGGCUGUUUUGUAGGCCAGCAGCUGUAGCUCUGAUUCGACCCAUAGCCUGGGAACCUCCAUAUGCUGCAGGUACGGCCCUAAAAAGCAAAAAAACAAAACAAAAAAAAAAACAAAACAAAAAAAGUAUGCAUUGAUCCCCACCCAAUAUUUUAUAUCUCUAAACAGCUGCCUCACCAUGACAUAACUAGCCUUCAAUAUGUCUGAUUCAAUCUUCCAGCAGUCUUUUAGACAAUUCUGUUUAAGUCUUUAACAAAACAAAAAUCCACAUAAAAUAAGUUAUCUGGACAUAGAUCAUUUUUUUUCAGUUCAAUAAAUAAUGAUCACUAAGCAGACUUUUUUCCAGGGCAUAUGGAUUUCCCAGGCCAGGGAUCAGAUCUGGGCUGCAGUCUCAAUCUAAGCUGCAGCUGUGGCAAUGCCCGAUCCCCAACCUACUGUGUGGGGCAGGGGAAUCAAACCUGCAUCCCAACCCUCCAGAGACACUGCUGAUCCCAUUGCACCAUAGCAGGGAACUCCUCAUAAAUUUCCUAAAUAGAAAUUUUAAUUUCUAUUUCCCACUGAACAAAGCUCUUAGACUCCUUCCUUGGCCUCCUCACCCCUAGAGCGUGGCUUCCCUUCACCUCGACAUCUUACCCCACCCCGAGGAGUCUCAUUUUAACUCCCUCCCCAUUUCUAUAAACUCUCCACCACAGAAUCCUGACAACAGUCACGCAAGUCCUCAUCUAUCCUAGACAGGU
rnacentral:lncRNA from 1 species